UUUUCUUGACAACAGAAGGAGAUAGACUUUUCUUGGGCUCUAAAACUAUUCUGUCCUACAUGAAUAGAUCAUUCUUUAAUUCUUCUAAUAAAUACAUUCUAGUAUUAUAUAUUUAUCUUAAAGUCAUCAUUUAAAAACCAAACUUCCUUGCCAUUGAUAAUUCAAAAUAUAUCAUCCCUUGAUUUUCUAAUGCCUUUAGUGAUACUGAACCAAUGAUUUUACUUAAACUUUCAGACAAUUAAGCUUAAAAUCAGUUCUUAAAUAUACAAAAUCAAAAAUAAUGUUUCUAAAUUAAACCAAUGGCUCUUUUUGUAUCUGCAGCAUGCUUUAAUUUCUACCACAUAUGUGUAAAUUGGCAAAGUACCUAAAAGGCUAUAAUAAUCCUGAUGGCUUGGAACCAGUUUUUUACCAUCAUUGAACAAGUCCAUCUACUCUGAAUCUUUGGAUUAAGACAAAAACUCCAUCCUGCCAUGCACCUGGUCAGUUGUGCAAUCCUGACCAAUGAACAGCUGCUAACAAUAAGGGUAUUGUGCUUAUGUAACACAGUUCAGGACCUGAUGGUUAGUCUCUUGAUAAAUGGUGAAACACUAGGGAAUAUUCUCUUGCCAGGAUGCCUGCUUCAUGGAAAAUACUAUGUCUAUGUUGACCUGCACCCUUAAAUCUUCUCUCUAUAUGACUUGGUGAACUUGGCUUCUGGAAGAUCACAUUAGCCUUCCCACUUGGCUUUGAGGGAGUUAAGGAUAUUUGAGGGAGUUAAGAAAUGGCCAUACAGUGUUGCAGCAAAUGUAAUUUUAGGAACUGUUUUCUGUAGACUUGUUUCACCACGUUAACAAAAAUCUGUAUUAUGUUUCUUCCCAUCGAUGUGGGUGUGUCCUUGUGUGUGUAUUCAAGAGAGGCUUCCGUUUGUUGAGUGAUCUUCAUGCAAACAUCUUGGAGUGCUUUACAAAAGAAUUUUAAAAAUUAAACCAAACAGGAUAUGAAACUGUGCUGCCAAACAAGUACAUUUCUCUCCUCAAUGGCCAAAGCAGACGUCACCAUUAGUGAUUCUGAUGCUGUUCAACAUGUAUUUUAAGCUUGAGACACAUUUCAGUUUGGACUAGCUGUAUUUCAGAUGCCACAGGAAGCUGCCCUGGUUUGUGGUCAGAUGCAAGAAAAGGAGGUUGAAACCAGCACUUUCAGGGAAGCCUCAGAAGCUGGUGCUUAAGAGUUGCCUGCCACCCCUUGUUAUCCUCAUUACAGGAUGCCACAGCGUCGGGGGAAUUUUCUGAGAAGUUUGUGGGUAGCUUGUGCAUUCUCAUUAAUUAGGAAAUUAGAUUGUUGACUAUAAAUUGGAGAUUUAGGAAUGUCUUUAUUUAAAGUUGAGGAAAUGAAGCGUGGGAGGUUAGAUGAUAGCUAUGCUGUUUACACCAAAUUGCAGUGGUUUACUUGCUUUUGCUUUGGGGGUCAUAUUAACUUCAGCACCAAAGCCAGUCCCCUCAGAAGGCUCAGUUCCCUGCCAGAUGGGUUUGUUUUACAAGAUUUCCUGUAUAAGCAUGAUUCUAAGUAAUACAAGUAAUCUUAUUGAUUGCAAGUCUUCUUUCUCUUUCCCCCAAACUCUCCAUCUGAUUUUUUUUCAAGAUUGUCUUGUCCCUUCUAGAAACA